GCGGGGGUGCCCGAGUCGGCCAAAGGGGCAGGACUUAAGAUUACAAAAGAUACAAUAAGUUAUCCUGUGACGCAGGUCUUCGUGGGUUCGAAUCCCUCCUCCCGCA
rnacentral:tRNA from 1 species